AAAAAUUCAUGUCAAAUAGGAAACAUACUUUGUGUAGUUACAUCCUUUCCUUGCGGUGGUCGAUGGGCGCGAUGCAUCCUCUCCUCGGCCUCUCGUUCCCGCUGCGUGGGGGCUGGAGAUGGGAAAUUCUGGAUUCAAAUGACACCAUCACACAUGCACACCGAUCUUUGAGGCUUUACUAUGUUUGUAAAAUAAAAACGGUCAGAGUAACAAUUAUUAUCAUCCGGCGAGCGUAAGUCACAGUAGGGAAAAUAUCUAGACAUACCUUACAAAUUCUACAGAACUACAAAAUAGUGCCAACAUGAAUGGACAUGAGAGCCAGUAAAAUCAAUUCCCAUUUGACGACAUCCAUCCUCCAACUCCAAGCUGUGUACGCGCUGACUGAAACCCAGAACAAGCAGAAAGAUACUGCUGCCUCUUGCCCCAUCUUUCCUUUGAUUUUUCUGCUGCCCCACAUGUUUCCUUCUUAAAACUUAAUUUUCAGCAUCAUGUCCACGAGUCCUGAGAGCAAAAAGGAUGUUGUUAAGCUUUUCCAUCGUCAUCACGCAAUGUGCAUAGAUAACAGAUUUAGAUCACACGUAGGAGGAUUCAGGGGUGGGUGGACGAGGGUAAAUCAGGAUUCGGGAAGGGCCAAAGGAAUGAGGGGUCGACCCAUACUAACUCAGUCACGCGGAGCCACGGAAGAGAUCCACCAAGCAAUCGUCGAACUCGUCCCAUCGAAUCAAAGUACACCACACGGUAGAUGCGGCGGCAUAGGCCAAAGCUAGGGUUCGCAAGCCACAACGAUAUGGCAUGGUCACCAGUUGGCUAGAAAAGAAAAGAAAA
rnacentral:lncRNA from 1 species